GACGAACCGAGCGAACGUUGUUCGGAAUCACUGGGCUUAAAGGGCGCGUAGGCGGGCUGCCGCGUCCGGGGUGAAAUCCCACGGCUCAACCGUGGAACGGCCCCGGGUACGGGCGGCCUCGAGGGGGGUAGGGGCGUGCGGAACUGUGGGUGGAGCGGUGAAAUGCGUUGAUAUCCACAGGAACUCCGGUGGCGAAGGCGGCACGCUGGACCCGAUCUGACGCUGAGGCGCGAAAGCCAGGGGAGCAAACGGG
rnacentral:rRNA from 1 species